UACGUAGGGGGGCAAGCGUUGUCCGGAAUUAUUGGGCGUAAAGCGCGCGCAGGCGGUCCUUUAAGUCUGAUGUGAAAGCCCACGGCUCAACCGUGGAGGGUCAUUGGAAACUGGGGAACUUGAGUGCAGAAGAGAAAAGCGGAAUUCCACGUGUAGCGGUGAAAUGCGUAGAGAUGUGGAGGAACACCAGUGGCGAAGGCGGCUUUUUGGUCUGUAACUGACGCUGAGGCGCGAAAGCGUGGGGAGCA
rnacentral:rRNA from 1 species